GUUAUUAAGAAAGUGAUAAGCAUUGCAAUUGCUAAAUAUGUAGCUAAGGAAGGUUUGAAAGUUGGUAAAGAUUUACAAAUCUUUAAAUGGAAUUCAGAUAACAAGUUGAGUGGGAAACAUAAAGACAAAAGCCGAAGCAUGAUAAUUCUUCAGUUGUGAGUUUCUUGCU